UCUCUGGUAGUAUAGUGGUGAGUAUCCGCGCCUGUCACGUGCGAGACCGGGGUUCGAUUCCCCGCCAGAGAG
rfam:Parastrongyloides trichosuri strain KNP genome assembly, scaffold: PTRK_scaffold0000029